rnacentral:rRNA from 1 species
UACGAAGGGGGCUAGCGUUGUUCGGAAUUACUGGGCGUAAAGCGUGCGCAGGCGGCUUCUCAAGUCAGGGGUGAAAGCCCAGAGCUCAACUCUGGAAUUGCCUUUGAGACUGAGUGGCUUGAGUACGAGAGAGGUGAGUGGAAUUCCCAGUGUAGAGGUGAAAUUCGUAGAUAUUGGGAUGAACACCGGUGGCGAAGGCGGCUCACUGGCUCGUAACUGACGCUCAUGCACGACAGCGUGGGGAUCAAACAGG